AGUGGACGCUGGCGGUAGGCCUAACACAUGCAAGUCGAACGGCAGCACAGAGGAGCUUGCUCCUUGGGUGGCGAGUGGCGGACGGGUGAGGAAUACAUCGGAAUCUACUCUGUCGUGGGGGAUAACGUAGGGAAACUUACGCUAAUACCGCAUACGACCUACGGGUGAAAGCAGGGGAUCUUCGGACCUUGCGCGAUUGAAUGAGCCGAUGUCGGAUUAGCUAGUUGGCGGGGUAAAGGCCCACCAAGGCGACGAUCCGUAGCUGGUCUGAGAGAAUGAGCAGCCAGACGGGAACGUAGACACGGUCAAGACGCCUACGAGAGGCGGCAGUGGGGAGUAUUGGACAGUGGGCGAACGCCUGAUACAGCCAUACCGCGUGGGUGAAGAAGGCCUGCGGGUUGUAAAGCCCUUUUGUUGGGAAAGAAAUCCAUCUGGUUAAUACCCGGGUGGGAUGACGGUACCCAAAGAAUAAGCACCGGCUAACUUCGUGCCAGCCGCCGCAGUAA
rnacentral:rRNA from 1 species